AUGUGUUCUGCGUGGAAAACUCUGUACAGCUUUUUUUCAGGCAGUGCUGCAAGGAGCCUCUGGGAGUUCCGGCGGGAAGAGACCAGCCUCCAUUUGGAGACCUUUGCUACAGGUGAAGACCUUCAAACAAGUCAAGCAGAUAUAUCAGGAGCUCAUCAGUUUUACAUCAAGCCUCCACUGGAGCUUUGCAGUCUGCCAUUCAAAGCCUGAACAAGAGCUCAUCACUGUGCUUUUUCAGAUCGCACAAAGGAAGCAAGGAGACUCCCACAUCUUUCAGUGAGAAGAAAGGAAGCAGUGGAGCAGACUAAUACGGACUUGUGUCUGGUGGCCUUGCAGUACAAAGGCUGCCUUUAAAAGAGAAGCACAGCGUUAUUUAAUGAGCUGUGAGAUGAGGCGCUGCUGCUAACACUCAGAUCCCUGGAUUCAUCGGCUAUUCAUUGUGCUUAAUGUACAUGUUUCUACACCGUGCGUUUAGGAGAUCCCAGAGAAGAAUCCAAAACGGCUG
rnacentral:lncRNA from 1 species